rnacentral:rRNA from 1 species
GACGAACGCGGCGGCGUGCCUAAUACAUGCAAGUAGAACGCUGAAGGAGAAGCUUGCUUCUCUGGAUGAGUUGCGAACGGGUGAGUAACGCGUAGGUAACCUGCCUGGUAGCGGGGGAUAACUAUUGGAAACGAUAGCUAAUACCGCAUAACAGUAGAUGUUGCAUGACAUUUGCUUAAAAGGUGCAAUUGCAUCACUACCAGAUGGACCUGCGUUGUAUUAGCUAGUUGGUGGGGUAACGGCUCACCAAGGCGACGAUACAUAGCCGACCUGAGAGGGUGAUCGGCCACACUGGGACUGAGACACGGCCCAGACUCCUACGGGAGGCAGCAGUAGGGAAUCUUCGGCAAUGGACGGAAGUCUGACCGAGCAACGCCGCGUGAGUGAAGAAGGUUUUCGGAUCGUAAAGCUCUGUUGUAAGAGAAGAACGAGUGUGAGAAG